CAGGAUGGAAUAUAGCGACGCUCAACUGGCGGGAAAGCAAAGGAGGGUGAUUCGACAGGGCAGUUGCUGGUUGUUGCAUCUCUAUCGUGGGGGCCCGAUUGCUGGUGGUGCGGAGGCGGUUUUCCUGUCCGGUUGCGAAAAUAUAAACCGGAGACGUCUCCAUGGAAACCCUGACCUCCGUUUGGGCCCCCGGCGACCCCUGUGACCUCAUCGAGGCGCCGC